rnacentral:rRNA from 1 species
AGUGAACGCUGGCGGUAGGCCUAACACAUGCAAGUCGAACGGCAGCACAGUAAGAGCUUGCUCUUACGGGUGGCGAGUGGCGGACGGGUGAGGAAUACAUCGGAAUCUACUUUUUCGUGGGGGAUAACGUAGGGAAACUUACGCUAAUACCGCAUACGACCUACGGGUGAAAGCAGGGGAUCUUCGGACCUUGCGCGAUUGAAUGAGCCGAUGGCGGAUUAGCUAGUUGGCGGGGUAAAGGCCCACCAAGGCGACGAUCCGUAGCUGGUCUGAGAGGAUGAUCAGCCACACUGGAACUGAGACACGGUCCAGACUCCUACGGGAGGCAGCAGUGGGGAAUAUUGGACAAUGGGCGCAAGCCUGAUCCAGCCAUACCGCGUGGGUGAAGAAGGCCUUCGGGUUGUAAAGCCCUUUUGUUGGGAAAGAAAAGCAGCAGGUUAAUACCCCGCUGUUCUGACGGUACCCAAAGAAUAAGCACCGGCUAACUUCG